CACAAGUGCCAGAAGAACCUGGACUGAGGUUUGCUUAAGAACCAUCCGCCCAAUCUUAUCAGAAAAGCUUCCCUCCUCUGUCCACAAAAAAGUGAAGAUGCUUGAAAGCUCCUGGGAGGUAUAGAAGAGGCAAUGGGCACUGCUAUUAGCCAGAGACUGUCCAAAAAUACCUUGGCCACAAAUGGGGGAUAAUGGGACAACCUACGAGUGACACCAGUCUUCUGCGUGUUUGAAGAGCUGAACUCUUCAAAAAUCUCAAGUGAUCCUACUCCUGCUGCUUCAAGCACAGGGAAACCUGACUCCUUGGAAUGAUCCAAUAUGCAGGGCUCCUGCACGGGCUCCAGAUGAAAAACAUGUCAGUGGCCAUCCUGGUUUCAGCUGGGAUAGACUUAAUUUUCUUCUUAGUAGCUGAUGCAGUGCUGUGUUUUGGAUUUGGUGUGAGAACAAUGCCAAUAGCACACUGAUGUUUUAGUAUUGCUAGGUAAUACUUAUACCAAGUCAAGGACUUUUCAGUUUCUUGGGCCCUGCCAGCGAGAGGGCUGGAGGGGCACAGGACACUGGGAGGGGACACAGCCAGGACAGGUGACCCAAGCUAGCCAAAGGGAUAUUCCAUACCAUAUGACGUCAUGCUGAGUAUAUAAACUGGGGAAAGAAGAAGGAAAGGGGGGGACAUCUGGCAUUAUGGCAUUUGUCACCUGAUGGAGCCCUGCUUUCCUGGAGAUGGCUGAACACCUGCCUGCCGAUGGGAAGCAGUGAAUUAAUACCUUGUUUUGCGCUGCCUGCAUGCAUGGCUUUUUCUUUACCUAUUAAAUUGUUCUUAAAUCAAC